UACGAAGGGUGUAAGCGUUAAUCGGAAUUACUGGGCGUAAAGCGCGCGUAGGUGGUUCAGUAAGUUGGAAGUGAAAUCCCCGGGCUCAACCUGGGAACUGCUUUCAAAACUGCUGAGCUAGAGUACGGUAGAGGGUGGUGGAAUUUCCUGUGUAGCGGUGAAAUGCGUAGAUAUAGGAAGGAACACCAGUGGCGAAGGCGACCACCUGGACUGAUACUGACACUGAGGUGCGAAAGCGUGGGGAGCAAACAGG
rnacentral:rRNA from 1 species